UACAGAGGUCCCAAGCGUUAGGCGGAAUCACUGGGCUUAAAGCGUGUGUAGGCGGAUCGUUAAGUGCCUUGUGAAAUCCCACGGCUCAACCGUGGAACUGCUUGGCAUACUGGCGGUCUUGAGCAACCUAGGGGCGAGCGGAACAAAUGGUGGAGCGGUGAAAUGCGUAGAUAUCAUUUGGAACGCCAAUGGUGAAAACAGCUCGCUGGGGGUUUGCUGACGCUGAGACACGAAAGCCAGGGGAGCAAACGGG
rnacentral:rRNA from 1 species